CCUACGGGAGGCAGCAGUGGGGAAUAUUGCACAAUGGGGGGAACCCUGAUGCAGCCAUGCCGCGUGUGUGAAGAAGGCCUUCGGGUUGUAAAGCACUUUCAGCGAGGAGGAAAGGGUGUAAGUUAAUACCUUACAUCUGUGACGUUACUCGCAGAAGAAGCACCGGCUAACUCCGUGCCAGCAGCCGCGGUAAUACGGAGGGUGCGAGCGUUAAUCGGAAUUACUGGGCGUAAAGCGUGCGCAGGCGGUUUGUUAAGCGAGAUGUGAAAGCCCCGGGCUCAACCUGGGAACCGCAUUUCGAACUGGCAAACUAGAGUCUUGUAGAGGGGGGUAGAAUUCCAGGUGUAGCGGUGAAAUGCGUAGAGAUCUGGAGGAAUACCGGUGGCGAAGGCGGCCCCCUGGACAAAGACUGACGCUCAGGCACGAAAGCGUGGGAGCAAACA
rnacentral:rRNA from 1 species